rnacentral:lncRNA from 1 species
GUGAGCCACCGCGCCUGGCUGCUAAGUGAUUUGUAAGCUAAGACAUACUCUUAAAUUCCUUCAAAGCAAGGGAAGCAGUGACUGUUUUAAGAACAAAUACUGUCUUUGAAAUUUGAAAUACAGGAUAGACAGGGGCUCCUUAAACCUAGUAAUCCUUUUGUCUCUUUUGGUCCAUCUCAACCACAAACCAAGCAAACAUGCACAUGCUUGUCAAAAACAAGUCAAUUAUUUUGAAAAUCAAUUAAAUUAUUCAUACCCUUUGAAAUUUCAAAGGAAAGUCGAGAGAGAGAGAGAGAGAGAGAGAGAGAGAGUCAGUUAGAAGUCACGGGUAUUGAAGUGCUUAUUAGUUAAAUCGGGUUCUUUGUCUCUCUACUUUGCUAAUGGCUGAUCUUUUGACUUUUCUGAUGAUUAGCCCUGGCUAUCAAGUGAGAUUCCAUGGGGCUUGGUUUGUUCAUACUCUUCUGAGUGACAUUUUCCCCAUUCUAAUAGCCUAAAAGCAUAAUGAGGUAAAUGAAUCACAAGUGAUAAUGAGUUUUUUAAAAAUCUAGGCAGGAACAAAACUGGCUCAUUACCAUGAAGAAGUAGCAUUCUGAUGAGGACAGGAAAUCACUGAGGAACAGGAGAGAAUGCAUAAACUACCACUUAUGUGUAUUGCUAAUGAUAUGCCAGACACAAUUCUAAACACUUACAUGACGGUCUCAUUUAAUACCAAUGCAAAAAUUCUACAGAUGAAGAAAUGGGGACUCAGAGAGAUUAAGUAGUUUGCUUAAGGUCACACAACUAGGAAAUGACCAAAUUGGCAUUUAAAUGAGACAGGCUGGCUGAAGCCUGGACUGCCUCUGCCUUUUUUUUUUUUUUUUUUUUUUUUGAAUCAGGGUCUCACUCUGUCACCCAGGUGAUCACGGCUCACUGCAGGCUCGAACUCCCAGGCUCAGGUGAUCCUCCCACUUUGGCCUCCCAAGUAGCUGGGACUACAGGAGGGCCACAAUGCCUGGCUAAUUUUUUUUUUUUUUUUUGAGAUGGGGUUUUGCUAUGUUGCCCGGUCUGGUCUCGAACUCCUGGGGUCAAGUGAUCUGUCCACCUCGGCCUCCCAAAUUGCUAGGAUUACAGACAUGAGCCACCGUGUGCAGCCUGCCUCUGUCCUUCUGAAAAAAAGAUGGUACAGUCAAGAUGACCUAGCUGUAACCUGGCUACUAGAGGACCAAGGAGAAAAAUAAACUUCUACCACGCUUUCGAAAACAAGCACUCAAACUCAGGAGAUACUUGAUUGAAGUUGAAAGAGUGGUGCAUUCCCCAAGGCAGUACCCUCAUGAAUGGGAUUAGUGUCCUUUAAUAAAAGAGACCCAAGAGAGGUCCCUUGCUCCUUCCAGCAUGUGAGAUUACAGCAAAAAGAUGCUGUCUAUGAACCAGAAAGUGGGCCCUCACCAGACACUGAAUCUGUCGGCACCUUGAUCUUGGAUUUCCCAGCUUCCAGAAGUGGGAGAAAUAAAUUUCUCUUGUAAAUAAGAUAAACAGUUUAUGAUAUUUUAUUAUAGCAGCCCCAAGGGACUAAGACAGAAAUCCAGUUGUACACCAGAUGGUUGUAACACGUUCAGUGGAAUGAAAACCUUGUGUCUUGGCAGGGUGCAGUGGCUCAUGCCUGUAAUCCCAACGCUUUGGGAGGCUGAGGUGGGAGGGUCACUUGAGGCCAGGUGUUCAAGACCAGCCUGGGCAACAUAAGGAGAUGUCCAGAUAGCCGGCAAAACAGUGUUCCUGGGUAGGCCUGUGAUGGUGUUUCCAGAAGAAAUUAGUGCUGUGAGUCGGUAGAGUGAGUAAAAAAGAGUCUCUUAAAAAAAAUGUUGGCCGGGCACGGGGCUCACGCCUGUAAUCCUAGCACUUUACAAGGCUAAGGCAAGUGGAUCACUUGAGGUCAGGAGUUCGAGACCAGCCUGGCCAACAUGGUGAAACCCCAUCUCUACUAAAAAAUACAAAAAUUAGCUAGGAAUGGUGGUGUGUGCCUGUAGUCCCAGCUGCUCAGGAGGCUGAGGCAUGAGAAUCACUUGAACUCAGGAGGUGGAGGUUGCAGUGAGCCGAGAUCGUGCCACUGCACUCCAGCCUGGGUGUGGUGGUAUGCACCUGUAGUCCCAGCUACUCAGGAGGCUGAGGCAGGAAGAUCGCCUGAGCCCAGGAGAUUGAGGCUGCAGCACUCCAGCCUGGGCAACAGAGCAAGAUCUGGUUUCCAAAAAACCCAAAAAAACCUUGUGUCUUCAUGUGGAGAUUAAGUAUGGUUUAAGGAGAUGUGUAUGGAUGACAAGUUCAAAAAGGAUGGUCGUGUGAUGGUUAAUUUUAUGUGUCAGUUUGACUGAGCUAAGGGAUGUCCAGAUAGCUGGCAAAACAGUGUUCCUGGGUAGUCCUGUGAUGAUGUUUCCAGAACAAAUUAGCAUUGUGAGUUGGUAGAUUGAGUGAAAAAGAUCCUCCCAGGUGGAUCGCGAGGUCAGGAGAUCGAGACCAUCCUGGCUAACACGGUGAAACCCCAUCUCUACUAAAAAUACAAAAAAUUAGCUGGGCAUGGUGGCGGGUGCCUGUAGUCCCAGCUACUCAGGGGGCUGAGGCAGAAGAACGGCGUGAACCCGGGAGGCAGAGCUUGCAGUGAGCGGAGAUUGCACCACUGCACUCCAGCCUGGGCGAGAGAGUGAGACUCUGUCUCAGAAAAAAAAAAAAAAAUUAGAAAAAGAUCCUCCCUGUCAGUGGGUAUCAUCCACUGUUGAGUGGACAAAAGGUGGAAGAGGGGCGAAUCUGCUCUUUCUGGGCUGACAUCCAUUUUCUCUUGCCCUUGGAGGUCAGUGCUCCUAGCUCUUGCUUUUGGGCUUAGACUGGGACUUACAUCAUUGUGCCUCUGGUCCUCAGUCUUCAGAUUCAGACUGAAUUAUACCACCAGCUUUCCUGGUUUUUCAGCUUGCAGAUGGCAGAUCCUGGGACUUCUUGGCCUCCAUAACUGCAUGAGCCAAUUCCCAUAAUAAAUCUACACUUGAUCUUAGCCACAAGGCCGAGAAACGAUCAAUUCCUAUAAUAAAUCUCUCUUAUAAUAUCCUGUUGGUUCUGUUUCUCUGGAGAACCCUGACUAAUAUACCUUUUUUUUUUUUUUUUUUUUUUUUUUGAGACAGUCUUGCUCUGUUGCCCGGGCUAGAGCACAGUGGUGCCAUCACAGCUCACUGCAACCUCCAUCUCCCAGGUUCAAAUGAUUCUCCUGCCUCAGCGUCCCGAGUAGCUGGGAUUACAGGCACCUGCCACUAUGCCUGGCUAAUUUUUGUAUUUUUAGUACAAAUGGGGUUUCAUCAUGUUGGCCAGGCUGAUCUCGAACCCCUGACCUCAAGUGACCUGCCCGCCUCAGCCUCCCAAAAUGCUGCAAUUACAGGCAUGAGCCACCGCGCCCGGCCCUAAUACACCUUUUAACCUAAAAUUUCAGGACUUUCUUUACUUAGAAAAUUAUAUACACAUAUAUAGCUGUGAUUGUGCCACUGCAAUCCAGCCUGGGCGACAGAGUGAGCCCUUGUCUCAAAAGAAAAAAAAAGUUUGGUAUAUAAUCUUCCAAUCCCUUUCUAUGAAUUUAAAUGUUUAUUUUCUACCUAGUAAUCUUAUUUUUUUUAAUUCUUUAUUUCCUAGAUAAUGUUCAUUGAACCUUUUUGUAUUGAGAAAUUUUAAGGCACAUUUAAAAAAUAUAUUCUAACCAGGCACCGUGGCUAUCUUAGCACUUUAGGAGGCUGAGGCGGGUGAUCAGUUGAGGUCAGGAGUUCAAGACCGGCCUGAUGGUGAAAACCCUGUCUCUACAAAAAAUACAAAAAUUAGCCGGGCACAGUGGUGUGACCCUGUAAUCCCAGAUACUGGGGAGGCUGAGGCAUGAAAAUUGCUUGAACAUGGGAGACAGAGGUUGCAGUGAGCCAAGAUUGCACCACUGCACUCCAGCCUGGGCGACAGAGUGAGGCUCUGUCUCCAAAAAUAAUAAGAAGAAAGAGAGAGAGAGAGAAACAAACAAACAAACAGAGGCAAAAUUAAUAUAAGUAGCAUUUUUUGUUGUGGUUGUUGUUUUCUUCCUGAGACAGAGUUUUGCUCUUACGCCCAGGCUGAAGUGCAAUGGCCAUGAUCUCCGCUCACCACAACCUCCGCCCCCAGGGUUCAAGCGAUUCUCCUGCCUGAGCUGGAGAUUACAGGCACCCACCACCACCACGCCCAGCUAAUGUUGUAGUUUUAGUAGAGACAGGGUUUGGCUAUGUUGGACAGGCUGGUCUCGAACUCCUGACCUCAGGCGAUCCACCCACCUCGGCCUCCCAAAGUGCUAGGAUUAUAGGCCUGAGCCACUGCACCCAGCCCCGUUUUUUUUGUUUGUUUGUUUGUUUUUUUUUUUUUUUUAUUUUUAUUUUUUAUUUUUUAUUUUUUAUUUUUAUUGAUCAUUCUUGGGUGUUUCUCGCAGAGGGGGAUUUGGCAGGGUCAUAGGACAAUAGUGGAGGGAAGGUCAGCAGAUAAAC